rnacentral:lncRNA from 1 species
GUCAUCGCAUUCUCCACUAUAUCAUCAACCUAUAAAUGAAAAUUUAAAUAUAAUGAAAAUAUCGUUAUUUUAUUUCUAAAUAAAAUAAAACGAAAAUAUAUAAAUUGAUUAAAUACUUACAUUAUCGGUUACAGACGCUUUUCCUUUAUCAUACGAUGUACUGUCGACAUUCAUACGAUGUGUUGUUUGUUUGCUUAAUGACGAACCAGUUGUUCCUAUUGUGCGACUACUCUUUGUGCUUUUUCCGAUAUGUUUAGUUAUAGCAUACUUGAACAAAUCCUAAUUAAACAAAAUAAAUGACUAUUUAUUAAAAUAAUUAAAAAUCGAUUAAUUAAUUAUAUUGAAAUAAGAAAUUAAAUAAUAACCUUUUCGG